CCUACGGGUGGCUGCAGUGAGGAAUAUUGGUCAAUGGACGCAAGUCUGAACCAGCCAUGCCGCGUGCAGGAAGACGGCUCUAUGAGUUGUAAACUGCUUUUGUACGAGGGUAAAUCCCGAUACGUGUAUCGGGUUGAAAGUAUCGUACGAAUAAGGAUCGGCUAACUCCGUGCCAGCAGCGGCGGUAAUACGGAGGAUUCAAGCGUUACCGGGAUUUAUUGGGUUUAACGGGUGCGCAGGCGGUCUGUUAAGUCAGCGGUAAAAGCCCGGGGCUAAACCCCGGACCGCCGUUGAGACUGGCAGUCUAGAGUUGGAGAGAGGUAUGCGGAAUGCGCGGUGUAGCGGUGAAAUGCGUAGAUA
rnacentral:rRNA from 1 species